AAGUUUAUUCUGCCCUAUGAUUAAUUUUAAAUGGCUGCAGUAUUUUGACUGUGCAAAGGUAGCAUAAUAAUUAGUUUUUUAAUUGAAUACUGGUAUGAAUGGAUUAAUGAGAAAUUAUUUUUAUUAUUUUUAAUUUUAUAAUUUUAUUUUUAAGUAAAAAAGCUUAAUUAAUUUUUUGGGACGAAAAGACCCUAUAGAACUUUAUUUAACUUUAUUAUAAAAAUAUUUAGAUUGAUUAAAUUUUUAUUUUAAUGUUAAGUUUAAUUGGGGUGAUUAUUAAAAAUUAAACUUUAUUAAGAUAUUCAAUAAUUUUUGAUUAUAUUGAUCCAAUACUUUUGAUUAAAAGAAUAAGUUACCUUAGGGAUAACAGCGUUAUUUUAAUGGAAAGUUCUUAUUUAUAUUAAAGUUUGCGACCUCGAUGUUGAAUUAAGAUAAUAUUAAGGGGUAGUUUCUUUAAAAUUAAGUCUGUUCGACUU
rnacentral:rRNA from 1 species